ensembl:lncRNA
CAACUUUAUUAGCAAAAGAAAUACAAAAUGAUAUAUAUAAUAAUCUUAAUAUAAAAAAAAUAAAUACAAAUAAUUUUGCUAUCAAUAAUACAAACAUUAGUGCUGUUGGUAAUAAUAAUAUUAAAAAUUUGUACGAGGGAAAAAAUGAAGAAAAAUAUGGAGAAGAAAAAAAAGAAAAAAAAAUGAAAAAAAAGAAGAAAAAAAAGAAGAAAAAAAAGAAGAAAAAAAAGAAGAAAAAGGAGAAGAAAAGGGAGAAAAAAAUGGAGAGAAAGAUGGAGAGAAAAAUAGAGAAGAAAAAAUAUAUAAUUUAGAUAAAAGAAACAAUAAUGAUUUGACCAAUUUAGAAUUCGAACAUAACAAAAAAGAAAUUCCUUUUUGUUCUACAUCUAAUUGUCCUGGAAUAGUAUAUAAUAAUAGCGGUUUUGCUAAUUACUAUAUGGGGGUAUGUAAUAGUUGUGGUGUUAACUACAAUAUAGGUGGGUGUAUCAGUUGUGAUAAUAACGACAAUAACAUAAACAGUGACAAUAAUAUCAACAGUGAUAAUAACAUGAACACUGAUAAUAACAUCAACAAUGACAAUAACAUCAACAGUGACAAUAACAUAAACAGUGACAAUAACAUAAACAGUGACAAUAACAUAAACAAUGACAGUAAUAGAAACGACGAAAAAAAUCACAAUAAUGUAUGUGAAUUUUCACAAAUACAUAAAUUUGUUCAAAAAAAUUUUAAUUACCCAACUAACCAUAAACUAACAUUAUAUAUAUACCAUUAUUUAUAUAAGUAUUUAUUAGAACAGCACAAAAAAAAUGAAUAACACAGAAAAAGAAUAUAAUCAUGUAAGAGGUCUUAUAGAGAAUGACGAUAUUGAUAUUAACACUAGAGUAUGUAAUAAUAGUGUAUGUAACAGUAGUGUUUGUAACAGUAGUGUUUGUAACAGUAGUGUUUGUAACAGUAGUGUAUGUAAUAAUAGUGUAUGUAACAGUAGAAUAUGUAACAGUAGUGUUGAUAGUAUUAGUGUUGGUGAUACACAAUGGAGUGAUACACAGUGUAAUAAUAUACAUGGAAAUGUUAAAAAUAAUAGUAAUGAUUAUAUUAAAUAUAAAAAUAUAAAUAAUGAAAAUAAAAGUUAUAUUAAUAAUGUUGAAGAGGAUAUAAUAUUUGAUUGUACUAGUAAUGAAGAUGCAACUUAUCCAAGCAUGAUGGUUGAUAAAAAUAAUAAAAUGAAUUGUUACAAAUUAAAUGAAAAUAUAUCUGAAAAUAUAAAUAACAAUAUAAAUAUAAAUAACAGUAUAAAUAUAAAUAAUAAUAAUAAUAAUAAUAUAAACACAAAUGAAGAUAAAAUAAAAAAUUAUUAUUCAUCGUUACAUGCUUUAUCUAUGAACAAUCCAUCUGCGUAUAAUCCAUCUGUGUGUAAUCCAAAUAUAUACAGUUAUGGUGGUAUUAAUUUUAAUAAUAUAUAUACUAAUAACAAUAAUAAUAACAACGGUAACAAUAAUAAUAAUAACAAUGACAACAAUAAUAAUAAUAACAACAGCAAUAACAAUAAUAAUAAUGAUGCUUUAACAAAUGGUACUAGUAAUAAUAUUCUUUGUUGUUAUAAUAAAUAUAACAUAAAAGAUAAUGUUAGUAUUAGUAGUAGUCGUAGUAGUAGUCAUAAUAAUACACGUUUAAACAAACCUACAAUCACAUACUGUAAUUUAAAUGAUUAUAAUAAUGAUAACUCAAAUGGGGUAGAUGAACUUGGUCAAUUUUUAUUAGUUGAUAGAAGAAAGAAAAAAGGAAAAAGCAAAUCUAGCAAUGGAGGUACGAGAUUAAAUAGAAAUCUGAAAACUAAACAGAGUUUAAAAUGUUUAAAUAAUAGCAGUGGUAAUAACAAUAGCAAUAAUAAUAAUAAUAGUAGUGGUAAUAAUAGUAGUGGUAAUAAUAGUAAUAAUAGUAAUAAUAAUAAUAAUAGUAGUAAUAAUAAUAAUAGUAAUAAUAAUAAUAAUAAUAAUAGUAGUAAUAAUAAUAAUAGUAAUAAUAAUAAUAAUAAUAAUAGUAGUAAUAAUAGGUAUGAAGUGUGUAAAUACAAGUGUAAUGGGCAAUGUCAUGAUGAGAAAUGCUUACAUGAUGAAAUUAUGCUACAUAAUUACUCAACGAAUAAAAACAAAAACAAAAACAGACACAAAAACAAAAAUAAGGAAAACAUAGAGGAUGUACUUAAAAAUUAUAAUACACUAAAAUAUGACAAUAAUUUUAUAAAUAAAAAUAAAUGCACUAAUUUGAUUACAAAUUGUGAAUAUAAAGAUAAAAAUGGAAUAGAAAAAGAACAGUAUGAUAUUAAUAACGACUUAUGUAAUUUUAAUGGUUCAUAUAAUAAUAAUAAUAAUUAUAACAAUAAUUAUAACAGUAAUUAUAAUAGUGGUAACUUUAGUAGGUAUGAUAAUAAUAACUUCAACAGUAACUAUACAGAAACAGAUUGUUUAAAUUUAAAAAAAAUAUUAGGAGGAUUAAUUUUUAAUGGUGUACAUUAUAGCAACAUAUUAAAUAAUCACAGAACAGUUCUUAAAAAUAAUACAACUAUAGAUAAUAAUAAUAAUAACAAUAAUAAUAAUAAUAAUAACAAUAAUAAUAAUAAUAAUAACAAUAAUAAUAAUAAUAAUAAUAAUAACAAUAAUAAUAAUAAUAAAAUAAAAAUGGAAAUAGAAAAUGGAAUGGGAACUGGGAUGACAAAUGGAAUGGGAACUGGGAUGACAAAUGGAAUAGGAACUGGAAUGACAAAUGAGGAUAUUUGUUUAAAUAAAAAUAACUUUAAAAGAAUAAGAAUGAAAGAAAACAUAUUAGAAAGUAAUAAUAGAGAUGGUAAAUGUUUUUUAAAUAAUGUAUCCAUGCCAAUGUCAUUACAUGUACCAGUUCCUGUGCCUGUACCUGUACCAGUACCUGUUACUUUACCUGUAGAAUAUAGAAGAGGAAGAGAGAUAAAAACAAUUAAUAAUAACUUUUUAAAUUUUCAUUCUAUCGAUAAUAGGAUUGAUAAGAAUGGUAUGUUAGUAGGUUGUGAGAAUGUAGAUGAAAAAAAGUGCUACUACAGGUAGUUUUGCGACAGAAAGUACAAAAGCUGAUAGUUUAACUGCGAUUACAAAUAUUAAUACCGAUGAUGUUUAUAAAAAUAUAAAUAAUAAAAAUGGUAUAAAUAAUAAAAAUAAUAUAAAU